GACGAACGCUGGCGGCGUGCUUAAUACAUGCAAGUCAACUGAACUUGAGGUAGCAAUAUCACAAGAGAGGUGGCGCACGGGUGAGUAACACGUAGGUAAUCUGCCUUUAGGUCUGACAUAAUUCCGCGAAAGCGGGACUAAUAUCAGAUGAUGCAGCGGCUCGACAUCGAGACAGUUGUUAAACCUUCGGGGCCUAAAGAUGAGCCUGCGUCGAUUAGGUAGUUGGCGGAGUAAAAGCCCACCAAGCCUGCGAUCAGUAGCUGGUCUGAGAGGAUGAUCAGCCACACUGGAACUGAGACACGGUCCAGACUCCUACGGGAGGCAGCAGUAAGGAAUAUUGCUCAAUGGCCGAAAGGCUGAAGCAGCAACGCCGCGUGGAGGAUGAAAUUACUUUU
rnacentral:rRNA from 1 species